rnacentral:snoRNA from 1 species
GCCAAGUGAUGAUAUUGUGGCUUCUGAUAGUGGCUUUGACUUUUAAGCCAGAGUUGUUUAUUGUCUGUAAUCUUGGCUGCAGAAUCAAGUUAUCUCUGUGGUUGUAAGGCCAGACAUACAUCAAAGUGGCAUGUUCAGAAUCAUGGUUCAUUAAGUUUGAUUUCAUGACAUCACAUAUAUGCCAUACAGCCAAUUGGCACCUUUUUUUUUUUUAAACUGUCAAAGUGGAGUUGAAGACAUUUUUAGUAAUCUGAUGGCA